rnacentral:rRNA from 1 species
GACGAACGCUGGCGGCGUGCUUAACACAUGCAAGUCGAACGGAAAGGCCCUGCUUUUGUGGGGUGCUCGAGUGGCGAACGGGUGAGUAACACGUGAGUAACCUGCCCUUGACUUUGGGAUAACUUCAGGAAACUGGGGCUAAUACCGGAUAGGAGCUCCUGCUGCUUGGUGGGGGUUGGAAAGUUUCGGCGGUUGGGGAUGGACUCGCGGCUUAUCAGCUUGUUGGUGGGGUAGUGGCUGACCAAGGCUUUGACGGGUAGCCGGCCUGAGAGGGUGACCGGCAACAUUGGGACUGAGAUACGGCCCAGACGCCUACGGGAGGCAGCAGUGGGGAAUAUUGCACAAUGGGCGGACGCCUGAUGCAGCAACGCCGCGUGCGGGAUGACGGCCUUCGGGUUGUGAACCGCUUUCGCCUGUGACGAAGCGUGAGUGACGGUAAUGGGUAAAGAAGCACCGGCUAACUACGUG